UACGGGGGGGGCAAGCGUUGUUCGGAAUUACUGGGCGUAAAGGGCUCGUAGGCGGCCAACUAAGUCGGACGUGAAAUCCCCAGGCUCAACCUGGGAACUGCGUCUGAUACUGGAUGACUUGAAUCCGGGAGAGGGAUGCAGAAUUCCAGGUGUAGCGGUGAAAUGCGUAGAUAUCUGGAGGAAUACCGGUGGCGAAGGCGGCAUCCUGGACCGGCAUUGACGCUGAGGAGCGAAAGCCAGGGGAGCAAACGGG
rnacentral:rRNA from 1 species